UGUAGGAGUGAGCCUGCUCGCGAUAGCGGUGUAUCAGUCACCAUCAGCGUUGACUGAUACACCGCUAUCGCGAGCAGGCUCACUCCUACA
rnacentral:antisense_RNA from 1 species